rnacentral:rRNA from 1 species
CCUACGGGUGGCUGCAGUGAGGAAUAUUGGUCAAUGGGCGCGAGCCUGAACCAGCCACGUCGCGUGAAGGAUGACUGCCCUACGGGUUGUAACCUUCUUUUAUAAAGGAAUAAAGUGAGGCACGUGUGCCUUUUUGUCUGUACUUUAUGAAUAAGGAUCGGCGAACUCCGUGCCUGCAGCCGCGGUAAUACGGAGGAUCCGAGCGUUAUCCGGAUUUAUUGGGUUUAAAGGGAGCGUAGAUGGGUUGUUAAGUCAGUUGUGAAAGUUUGCGGCUCAACCGUAAAAUUGCAAUUGAUACUGGCAGUCUUGAGUACAGUUGAGGUAGGCGGAAUUCGUGGUGUAGCGGUGAAAUGCGUAGAUAUCACGAAGAACUCCGAUUGCGAAGGCAGCUUACUAAACUGCCACUGACAUUGAUGCGCGAAAGUGUGGGGAUCAAACAGGAUUAGAUACCCUUGUAGUC